rnacentral:rRNA from 1 species
GAUGAACGCUGGCGGCGUGCUUAACACAUGCAAGUCGAACGAAGCACUUUAUUUGAUUUCCUUCGGGACUGAUUAUUUUGUGACUGAGUGGCGGACGGGUGAGUAACGCGUGGGUAACCUGCCUUGUACAGGGGGAUAACAGUUGGAAACGGCCGCUAAUACCGCAUAAGCGCACGGCAUCGCAUGAUGCAGUGUGAAAAACUCCGGUGGUAUAAGAUGGACCCGCGUUGGAUUAGCUAGUUGGUGAGGUAACGGCCCACCAAGGCGACGAUCCAUAGCCGACCUGAGAGGGUGACCGGCCACAUUGGGACUGAGACACGGCCCAAACUCCUACGGGAGGCAGCAGUGGGGAAUAUUGCACAAUGGGCGAAAGCCUGAUGCAGCGACGCCGCGUGAGCGAAGAAGUAUUUCGGUAUGUAAAGCUCUAUCAGCAGGGAAGAUAAUGACGGUACCUGACUAAGAAGCACCGGCUAAAUACGUG